CAGCUUAUAAACCUGUGAGAUUAACACUCUGUUACUCACAGUCGUCCUUCACAGUAACACAGUCCACAGGGACAAUGACUUUAAUCACCAUCUUCAUCUGGACGCUCAUCCUCUGCAUCCAAGAAUCCAGAGGCCAGAUUACUGUGACUCAGACACCUGCAGUAAAAGCUGUUACUGUAGGAGAAACUGUGACCAUGAGCUGUAAAACCAGCAGCCCUAUAUCAGGAUGCAGCAGUUGUGUGUCAUGGUACCAACAGAGGACUGGAGAGCCUCCUAAACUCCUCAUCUACUAUAUAAACAGCCGUCAGUCUGGGACUCCAGGACGAUUCACUGGAGGUGGAUCUAACUAUGGGUCUGACUUCACUCUGACCAUCAGUGGAGUCCAGGCUGAAGAUGCAGGAGAUUAUUACUGUCAGAGUUACCAUGAGAUCAGUAGUAAAGCUGUGUUCACACAGUGAUACAGAGCCGUACAAAAACCU